rnacentral:lncRNA from 1 species
GGAAUGUUUAGCCACUCCAAUGAGAGGAAUUUUCCCUAUUCCCUGUCUUCUUCCCCCAAUAAAAAUCAUGGAACCAAUUAUCUGCCUUAAUUUCAGAGCAUUGCACUUCUUGUACACUUAGCUGCACCCAUUUUUGGGAACAUUUGUUCAGUUUGUGAAAUUUAGGUGGCUUCCUUCUACUUUCAAGUAGAACUGAGGAAACCUUGAGGGAGGGGAAUUUCUGAAAUCUUCCUAACUGGGAGCAUUAAAUUAGGAAAAGAUGAGAAAAGUAUUGGCUUGUAUGUUUCAGCUCUCAUGGGAGUUUGGGAAUCUCUAUAGAGUGAUACCUGUUGAUACUCCAAGGUGAGUGAAAUAUGCUGGGGUGAGCAGCAUGUCUUGCACAGACUUUUUGCUGCCUGAGCAAGCCACAUGUGAAAAAACAAAAGUAAAAGAAGUAUCCUCCUGGCAGAAUUCCCCCACAAGAUGGCUCUGCAGCCACAGGCUCUGAAAGGGAAGAACUUGGAAAUACCGGUUAUUUCUCUUUUUUCAAAACAUUAACUUUAAAAUAAACUCCUUCGAAAAAUAUCUCCCUCACUAGAAACCCUUUAAAGUUUUGUGAAAACUUUACAAAGAUGUUAAUCCAAGCCUUUUUCCUCAAAAGUGGCUCUUUCCACUUUUUUUCUUAAAGGAACAGAUUAUUACUUUAAGCCGAAUACUUGAUGAUGCCGUCAUCCAAUGAACAAAGCGACCAUGAAAUGGCUGAGGAAUUAAUCUGGUCCCCUGAAGUCUGUUCCAGAGGGAAGAGAAGAAAACACAUCAAUGAGGACAAAGAGCUGAGCAGCACUUAGGCACAGAGCCUUCUCACACCAAAUGCCCACAGAGAGAUGCAGCUGAGGAUUGAGAGUCACACAAAAUCCUAGCACACUCUGCUUUCCUAUACCUUCUCCCCCAAGCAGAUCUUCUUAUCACUAAGUUCACCUUGAACUUGUGGAAACUGCAGGGCUAGGAAAAAAAGUCAGCCUUAUUGUUAGGGUACAGGAGCCAGGAAGCUUGAUUUCCAUUCCUGUUUUUUUCUGCAAGUUUGUGAAAAUCCCUAUAGUUUGAAGAAUGUUUCAAGCUCUUCACAUUGUUUUAAGAGAACAGAGCAGUGCUGUUAUAUGUUUUCAGCUCUCAGUAUUGGAAGCAGAGUUUGAUUUAUUGCCAUACGCAGCAUU